rnacentral:tRNA from 1 species
GGACGAUUAGCUCAGUUGGUAGAGCAUCCGCGUCACAUGCGGGAGGUCGCGGGUUCGAGUCCCUCAUCGUCCA